UACGUAGGGAGCAAGCGUUGUCCGGAAUCAUUGGGCGUAAAGCGCGUGUAGGCGGCCCGGUAAGUCCGCUGUGAAAGUCGGGGGCUCAACCCUCGAAAGCCGGUGGAUACUGUCGGGCUCGAGUGCGGAAGAGGCGAGUGGAAUUCCUGGUGUAGCGGUGAAAUGCGCAGAUAUCAGGAGGAACACCGAUUGCGAAGGCAGCUCGCUGGGACGUUACUGACGCUGAGACGCGAAAGCGUGGGGAGCAA
rnacentral:rRNA from 1 species